UGGACACAUUCAGAAGGACUGGCUCUGU
rnacentral:piRNA from 1 species